GACGAACGCUGGCGGCAUGCCUAACACAUGCAAGUCGAGCGAGUUGAUCCCUUCGGGGUGAAGCUAGCGGCGGACGGGUGAGUAACACGUGGGCAACCUGCCUCAUAGAGGGGAAUAGCCUUCCGAAAGGAAGAUUAAUACCGCAUAAGACUGUAGCUUCGCAUGAAGCAGCAAUUAAAGGAGCAAUCCGCUAUGGGAUGGGACCGCGGCGCAUUAGCUAGUAGGUGAGGUAACGGCUCACCAAGGCGACGAUGCGUAGCCGACCUGAGAGGGUGAUCGGCCACAUUGGGACUGAGACACGGCCCAGACUCCUACGGGAGGCAGCAGUGGGGAAUAUUGCACAAUGGGGGAAACCCUGAUGCAGCAAUGCCGCGUGAGUGAUGACGGCCUUCGGGUUGUAAAGCUCUGUCUUCGGGGACGAUAAUGACGGUACCCGAGGAGGAAGCCACGGCUAACUACGUGCCAGCAGCCGCCGUAA
rnacentral:rRNA from 1 species